rnacentral:rRNA from 1 species
CCCUUAGAUGUUCUGGGCCGCACGCGCGCUACACUGACGAAUGCAACGAGCUUAUAACCUUGGCCGAAAGGUCUGGGUAAUCUCCAAAUUUCGUCGUGAUGGGGAUAGAUUAUUGCAAUUAUUAAUCUUCAACGAGGAAUGCCUAGUAAGCGCAAGUCAUCAGCUUGCGUUGAUUACGUCCCUGCCCUUUGUACACACCGCCCGUCGCUCCUACCGAUGAAUCGUCCGGUGAAGUUCAUGGAGUCGCGGCUGCUCCAGCUGUUUUCGAAGUGAAAUGGACCUCNUNAUUUAGNGGAAGGAGAANUCGUANCA